GAUGAACGCUGGCGGCGUGCCUAAUACAUGCAAGUAGAACGCUGAAGCUUGGUGCUUGCACCGAGCGGAAGAGUUGCGAACGGGUGAGUAACGCGUAGGUAACCUGCCUCUUAGCGGGGGAUAACUAUUGGAAACGAUAGCUAAUACCGCAUAAAAGUCGAUAUCGCAUGAUAUUGAUUUGAAAGGUGCAAUUGCAUCACUAAGAGAUGGACCUGCGUUGUAUUAGCUAGUUGGUGAGGUAACGGCUCACCAAGGCGACGAUACAUAGCCGACCUGAGAGGGUGAUCGGCCACACUGGGACUGAGACACGGCCCAGACUCCUACGGGAGGCAGCAGUAGGGAAUCUUCGGCAAUGGGGGCAACCCUGACCGAGCAACGCCGCGUGAGUGAAGAAGGUUUUCGGAUCGUAAAGCUCUGUUGUAAGAGAAGAACGAGUGUGAGAGUGGAAAGUUCACACUGUGACGGUAACUUACCAGAAAGGACGGCUACUC
rnacentral:rRNA from 1 species